AUAGCGUAUAUUAAAGUUGUUGCAGUUCAAAAGCUCGUAGUUGAACUUCAGCCUCUUGGCCGGGCGGUCUGCCUCACGGUAUGUACUGUCUGGCUGGGGCUUACCUUCUGGUGAGCUUGCAUGCCGUUUAUUCGGUGUGUGAGGGAACCAGGACUUUUACCUUGAGAAAAUUUGAGUGUUCAAAGCAGGCAAAUGCCCGAAUACAUUAGCAUGGCAUAAUGGAAUAGGACGUGCGGUUCUAUUUUGUUGGUUUCUAGAGUCGCCGUAAUGAUUAAUAGGGACAGUUGGGGGCAUUAGUAUUGAGUUGCUAGAGGUGAAAUUCUUGGAUUUACUCAAGACUAACUACUG
rnacentral:rRNA from 1 species